rnacentral:tRNA from 1 species
GGCCUCGUAACUUAGCUGGUAGAGCACUCGCAGUACGGAAGCGGGGGUGGCAACCAUGCGUGGGUUCGAAUCCCGCCGUGGUCA